UACGUAGGUGGCAAGCGUUAUCCGGAAUUACUGGGCGUAAAGCGCACGCAGGCGGUCUUGUAAGUUUGACGUGAAAGCUCCCGGCUUAACUGGGAGAGGUCGUUGAAGACUGCAAGACUUGAGGAAAUGAGAGGGGUGUAGAAUUCCCGGUGUAGUGGUGGAAUGCGUAGAUAUCGGGGGGAAUACCAGUGGCGAAAGCGGCACCCUAGCAUUUUCUGACGCUCAUGUGCGAAAGCGUGGGGAGCGAACGGG
rnacentral:rRNA from 1 species